UACGGGGGGGGCAAGCGUUGUUCGGAAUUACUGGGCGUAAAGGGCUCGUAGGUGGCCAACUAAGUCAGACGUGAAAUCCCUCGGCUUAACCGGGGAACUGCGUCUGAUACUGGAUGGCUUGAGUUCGGGAGAGGGAUGCGGAAUUCCAGGUGUAGCGGUGAAAUGCGUAGAUAUCUGGAGGAACACCGGUGGCGAAGGCGGCAUCCUGGACCGACACUGACACUGAGGAGCGAAAGCCAGGGGAGCAAACG
rnacentral:rRNA from 1 species